rnacentral:tRNA from 1 species
CCGGGGUCGCCUAGCCUGGUCCAGGGCGACACGCGGGAAACCCGUUGGCCGUAAAGGCCGCCCGGGUUCGAAUCCCGGCCCCGGCGCCA